UACGGAGGGAGCUAGCGUUGUUCGGAAUUACUGGGCGUAAAGCGCACGUAGGCGGCUUUGUAAGUUAGAGGUGAAAGCCUGGGGCUCAACUCCAGAAUUGCCUUUAAGACUGCAUCGCUUGAAUCAUGGAGAGGCGGGUGGAAUUCCGAGUGUAGAGGUGAAAUUCGUAGAUAUUCGGAAGAACACCGGUGGCGAAGGCGGCCAUCUGGACGGAUACUGACGCUGAGACGCGAAAGCGUGGGUAGCAAACAGG
rnacentral:rRNA from 1 species